rnacentral:rRNA from 1 species
UAUACGGGAGGGCUAGCGUUGUUCGGAAUUACUGGGCGUAAAGCGCACGUAGGCGGACAUUUAAGUCAGGGGUGAAAUCCCAGAGCUCAACUCUGGAACUGCCUUUGAUACUGGGUGUCUUGAGUAUGGAAGAGGUGAGUGGAAUUCCGAGUGUAGAGGUGAAAUUCGUAGAUAUUCGGAGGAACACCAGUGGCGAAGGCGGCUCACUGGUCCAUUACUGACGCUGAGGUGCGAAAGCGUGGGGAGCAAACAGG